AUGGGGACAGGAUUUGGUGUGGGGUGGGAGGCACAGGGCAGGCUGUGGUGUCCCUGUGAGGUAGAGGGGCAGGGUUUGGGGUGCCCUGUAAGGUAUAAGGACAGGGUUUGGUGUAAGGCACAGGACAGGCUGUGGUGUCCUGUGAGGCACAGGGACAGGGUUUGGUGUGCUCAGUAAGGCACAGGACAGGCUGUGGGGUAUGGCACCUUUGGUGUACCCUGUAAGAGACAAUGUGUCCCCAAAGCCUGGCCUGACUCUCAAAGGGAUUUGGUUUAAGCUGAGUGAUUUUGCAGAGUUUGGUGGCUGUGGGAGGGUGAGAGCCCACGUUCAGUGGGAGCAGGGGCUGGAGAGGUGGCUGAGCCUGCCAGGAAUUGGUUAGAAAGGGAUCUAAGGUAUGUGAAAGGUGUGGAAGAAGGGCUGAGGAUAAGGUGAGGGUACAGACAAGGAUAAUGGCACAGUUUUUACAACCCCCAGUGGGGAAAAGCACAGCGAGCCUCAGGACAAUAUGGAAGGGGGCAGCCACCAGGACAGUGACUGGGAAGGAAUCAGUGUGUCUUUUGUAAAAAACAACAUUAGAAAUGGAUUGUUCAGGGUGUCAGAUCUGCUGUUGUACCCAGGCUCACCACACUGUAGCCUUUGCUGCACCAAGUGUUUCCUGGUAGACAGAAGUUCCUGGGAACUUCUCUGUCUGAUUUGAAUUUUAUGCCAAAGGGGGAACAAUUGUUCAGAUGAUUUUUGGUGAGUGGGAAAGAUGAGCAUUUGGUUCAAGCACUGUUGGUGAAUGUGUGUGUGGAUGGGAAUGAGCACUGUGUGUGUUAUAUCCACAGCUACCUCUGCCCAUUCCCUUCAAACACAUUGUACAGGAUUGGGAGAUGCCAGGAAGAAUGAGACGUGAGCAGUCUUGUGUUCAUUGAGUUGUUUUACACUUUUUGUCUGUGGAACAAUAGUAAUUGCUUUUGGGUUUUUUAACCCAGUUUUUAACCCAGUUUAAGACUCUGUAGUGACUGUGUGCAGCCAAACUGAAGGGCUGCCAUGAUCCAGCUGAGUUCUUUGCUUGCUCAGAUCCUGCUGCUGCGGAGCCAACUCCUCAAGAAGAGAUGGAUGGAGGCACCAGGCAGGGAGGGGAUCUGUAGGAGAGCCUGCCUGGCACCCCUGCCCUGCCAGCCUGGAUCUGAUGGGCUGCUCCUCCCCAGGAGUGAGGAUGCAGAGCCCCAAGGGCUGCUUGAGCUCACAGGGGUUUCUUGAGGUCAUUUGGAGUUUCUUGAGGUCACUGCAGUCCCUGGGAGGCUAUCUCUCUGCUAAUGGGCCAGCAAGUGUCACUGCAUGCCUCAUAAAUGACAUCAUCCCAUUGUGAGAUGCUCCGCCCAGGGAGAGGAGCCAAGCAUCUACCUGGAUAUAUUCAGGGGUUUUGGAACAGCAGCCUUUUCUACAGGAUUCCCAGGGGACAAGAGCUACCUCAGAAGAAGACCAGACCCUUCUACAUGAUCUCUGCCUGAAGAAAACCGCAUCCAUCACUCCAGGAGGACUGCAGCCACCAUUUAAUAGGACUUCUGCCACCACCCUGACCCCCAGGGUGCCAGGGGAACUACCUGUCUGCUGUAAUGCUCCUGUUGAGGCCAGGGAAUGGUAUGACAAUUGCUUUAUUGGUUUGUUAUGUCUAUUGCGUGAUAACCUCUGAGGCAGUGAACAUCAUUUGAAAUAUACAUUUAGUUUUGUUUGUUUGUCCCAGUCUGGGCUACUACAUCUGGGUCCUCCUCAACAAUCACACCCAGACCUUGGGGGUUAGAGUAGAGAAUGGUUUCUUCCAGCCUUUCAGACCUGACACAGCAGUUUUUAAGAAGAGCUCAUCAGAAUCAACAGUGCUCUGGUCUUGUGGACAGAACUGCUGUUGGUACAGGAAUGAUAAUAUUUUUCUGGUUCUCUUGAAGGGACCUCAGGAACACAUUUACAGGAGGAGACCAACGCGUACCUUGGCCAGGAUUAGAGGAGCCUUGCCUCUAGCCAGGUGGAGGAAAGAGACAAAUCUACUGGACUGUGUGGAUGCCAUGGCCUGUCUGCCCCACAAAGGAGGGUCCCACAGCUGCCGUGUAUUUGUAUGGGAAGGAGUGGCACAAACAUUCCACGGUGGCUGGCCCUGAGACCCUGCAUCCUCAGCACAGACCAUCUCAGAAAUGGGGAUUUCAAGGACAUCGUUGGGUUUUGGGAUUGCUGCUGCAGAGACAGAAACCUGAACACCCUGCCUGGUCUCUCAGAUGAGCCCUUUGCUGCUGGACUGCCGAGAGUUGAAGAACAACAGGUACCAAUCACCACAGCAACACUGCACCAUCAACAAUUCUUCAUCAUAACAUAAAUUUGCUGUGGAACAUCUCAACAAGGGCAAAGUGCUUUUUUUUUUUUUUUUUUUUCUUUUCUCCUUUAAUUAAAACAAAAUAAAACCCUAAAUAAGA